CAAAAAUAUGGUUUGCCCUUUCUCAGUCUCCGCUGCUCAGAAGCCAUGCGGCUUCUCACUUUGCUUAGAGGAAAGACAUGGCUAAAGCAUGCAUCUGCCCUGAUCAGACAAGCCUUCCUUUGUUAACUGCUCCUUCCCUUGCGCAGUUUGCUUUAGCAUAUGAAACCAGUACACCGUCUUCUUCUCUAACCAGACAUGCUUUUCCUUUGGAAUUCACUACCAAGUCAGCAACAUGAUCCCUCUUUCAACAGGACUCACAUUGGUUUCAUGUCCAUCUGCAAGAAUUCAUCCCUUGACAAUUAUACUGUGUGUGACUUCGAUGAGGAAGAAGAGAAAGAAACAUAGACAUAAUAUGAAACCCAUUGUACCUAACGGCUUAUUUCUAUGUAUAAGGACCCAGACUAAGGGAACUUCACAGAAGAGGCAGAAAAAAUGUGAGACCUGGAAGAUGGAGAAGAGUGGUGUUCAAUGCUGUCUUCUGCACAUAAGAUGGUCAUCAUUCUCACAACUUCAUAGUGAGUGUGGUUACUUACACAAGGCCUGCAUACACCCAAUUCAGCCAAAAUUCCAGCAAAGAUGAGGUGGAUGGUCUUUAUGUCCUACAUUUUACUGAAAGCUUUUGGCAGUAAAUAGUUGCUAGGAGACAGGAGGAACAUUCUUGUUUAAGUAUGAG
rnacentral:lncRNA from 1 species